UGGUUAGUCUUAGGUAUCCAGAUGUGAUC
rnacentral:piRNA from 1 species